rnacentral:rRNA from 1 species
CACUUUUGCUAUACAGGGCUGGAAGCACCUGACCUCGUCUAAACUUGGAAGUUAAGCAGACCAGGGUCUGUAGGUAGCUGGAUGGGGAAAAAAAUCAUGAAAAUAGGCAAAAGUCC